CAGUCGCCGCGGUAAUACAGAGGGUGCAAGCGUUAAUUGGAAUUACUGGGCGUAAAGCGCGCGUAGGUGGUUUGUUAAGUUGGAUGUGAAAUCCCCGGGCUCAACCUGGGAACUGCAUCCAAAACUGGCAAGCUAGAGUAUGGUAGAGGGUGGUGGAAUUUCCUGUGUAGCGGUGAAAUGCGUAGAUAUAGGAAGGAACACCAGUGGCGAAGGCGACCACCUGGACUGAUACUGACACUGAGGUGCGAAAGCGUGGGGAGCAAACAGGAUUAGAUACCCCUGUAGUCCCUGUCUCUUAUAA
rnacentral:rRNA from 1 species